rnacentral:rRNA from 1 species
UGGGGAAUAUUGCACAAUGGGCGAAAGCCUGAUGCAGCGACGCCGCGUGCGGGAUGAAGGCCUUCGGGUUGUAAACCGCUUUUGAUUGGGAGCAAGCGAGAGUGAGUGUACCUUUCGAAUAAGCACCGGCUAACUACGUGCCAGCAGCCGCGGUAAUACGUAGGGUGCAAGCGUUAUCCGGAAUUAUUGGGCGUAAAGAGCUCGUAGGCGGUUUGUCGCGUCUGGUGUGAAAGUCCAUCGCUUAACGGUGGAUCUGCGCCGGGUACGGGCAGGCUAGAGUGCGACAGGGGAGACUGGAAUUCCCGGUGUAACGGUGGAAUGUGUAGAUAUCGGGAAGAACACCAAUGGCGAAGGCAGGUCUCUGGGUCGUCACUGACGCUGAGGAGCGAAAGCGUGGGGAGCGAACAGGAUUAGAUACCCUGGUAGUCCACGCCGUAAACGGUGGAUGCUGGAUGUGGGGCCCAUUCCACGGGUUCCGUGUCGGAGCUAACGCG